UGCUUCAUGAUAUCCCCUCAGUUCAGCCUCGAGGGAGUACGAAGCCUUCAGGCUCCUUGGUGGGAGUGUCCUUGGGCCGUCCUUUCAUGAGCCUCCAAGGUCCAGCGUCUUCGUGAGAGCCCCUCAGUCCAGGGUCCAGGGAGUCCGCCGUCCUCAGGCUACUCCCUGGGUCUGUUCCCGAGCCUGGCUACUCUGCAGACUCCGAGCUCCAGCUGCU